GGAGUAGAAAAGGUCGCGGCGUCGCAGUGUCUGGCAGCAGCGGUGCAGCUCCGCGCAGGGUUUGUAACACGGCCUCCUCCCCACCAGGUCCUCCCACACUGGCCUCUCCCCGGCCUUCCAGAGAGCCCGAAAGUCCGGAUUCCCUGCAGCUCCGAGCCUGGCCCGGUCACAGGGACGGGGCCCAGCGUCACACUACACGGGCUGGUGUGGAAGUGCGCAGGCACAAGCGCUCUGCGCGCCUCCCUUAGCAACCAGGGCGGGGAGUUGAGAAUCGCAGGUUGGCCGCAGGGAAAAGAGUUCUUCAUAUAUUAAGGAUUCAUUCAUUCAUAGACUCAUUUAUUGAAGGCUGUCUGUGUAACAGGCACAAUCCUAGGUGCUUGGGAUAUAGCAGUGAACAAGAGACAAACCCCCUACUAUCAUGGUACUUACAUUUUUGUGGGCUGGAUAAUAAACAAGCUCUACUUCUGCAGGCCCCAUCCCUUCCCAGAAAGAAGAGGAAAUGACUGAGUCCCAGCAGGAGUCUCUCCUUGUAGCCACCACACGGGAAAUGUGCUGGGUCACACCUGAAGCCAGCAUGUCUCUGAGUCUCACCCAAGGCCCAUGGGAACAGUAACAUUCAAAGAUGUGGCUAUCGACUUCACUC
rnacentral:lncRNA from 1 species